rnacentral:rRNA from 1 species
AGUGAACGCUGGCGGUAGGCCUAACACAUGCAAGUCGAACGGCAGCACCGUAAGUGCUUGCUCUUACGGGUGUCGCGUGUCGGAAGGGUGCGGAAUACACCGGAAUCUACUUUUUCGUGGGGGCUAAUGUCGGGAAACUUACGCUAAUACCGCAUACGACCUACGGGUGAAAGCAGGGGAUCUUUGGACCUUGUGGGAUUGAAUGAGGCGAUUUCGGAUUAGCUAGUUGGCGUGGUAAAUGCGGACCAAGGGGAAGAUUGGUAGCUGGUCUGAGAGGAUGAUCAGCCAGACUGUAACUGAGAAACGUUCCAGACUCCUACACUAGGCAGCAGUGGAAAAUAUUACACAAUGCGCGCAAGCCUGAUCCAGCCAUACCGCGUAGAUGAAGAAGCACUUAGGGUGGGAGAACGCUGUUGGUGGGAAAGAAAAGAAGCAGUUUAAUACCCCGCUAUACUGACGGUACCCAAAGAAUAAGCACCGGCUAACUUCGUG